rnacentral:lncRNA from 1 species
UUACGAGAAGUUCAAGAAAUUAGCCCACUUAAGUCAACAAAAAUAACGAAAAAUCACAAAAAACUGAAAACUGAAAAAUGUAAAAAACACAAUGAAGAACAUGAUAUUUUCGCCCUAAGGCAAGAGGUUCGGAACUUCAUUCCUAAUCCCCUUCUGAGCUUCCGUCAAACGGAAGAAAUCACUAUAUCAAUGGAACCAACGAAUCUGUCCAGUACAAUCUUUUUGGCACCCAGCAGAAAAUCACACAAGAUUUCCCCUAAAAUUAAGCCUCGUAAACCGAUAACAUUCACUCAAGAAUGAUGAAUCGAAGCCUAUACAAUAAUCACUCAAGAUUAUUUCAACACAAGCUUCUAUACUUCGACAAUGGCAUUCACUCAAGAAUAACACCAAUACACCUUGUUAAAUCACUCAAGAUUAUCUAUACAAGGUAGGAUUAGUUUCUCAUCAAUAGGCUAAAUUUUUGGAAUGCAAAAAUUGAUAGAUAAUGGAUCACCAAGAGAGAGAGACGAGAGGCAGAGAAGAACUCAUAAAAAUGAGAGAGAGAGAGAAAUCUGAAUCUGUGUGUUUCAUUUACUUCCAACCCUAAUGAAUUAAAUAUGAAUACCACUUGAAUUCUCCAUCCAAUGGCAGGUAAUUGGCCACUUGUCAAAAUCUGGCCAGCCCAUUUAAAUGAGAGAAAAAACGUGAUCAACAACUCCCGUUUUUGGAAAAAUGAAAACAGCAAUCACUUAUUAAUUUUGGACGACCUGGCCCACUAAAAUAGCAGAUUAAUUCCAGCCCAGUUGGCCCAUCAUUGUG